rnacentral:rRNA from 1 species
UGUAGGAUAGGUGGGAGGCUUUGAAGUGUGGACGCCAGUCUGCAUGGAGCCGACCUUGAAAUACCACCCUUUAAUGUUUGAUGUUCUAACGUUGACCCGUGAUCCGGGUUGCGGACAGUGUCUGGUGGGUAGUUUGACUGGGGCGGUCUCCUCCUAAAGAGUAACGGAGGAGCACGAAGGUUGGCUAAUCCUGGUCGGACAUCAGGAGGUUAGUGCAAUGGCAUAAGCCAGCUUGACUGCGAGCGUGACGGCGCGAGCAGGUGCGAAAGCAGGUCAUAGUGAUCCGGUGGUUCUGAAUGGAAGGGCCAUCGCUCAACGGAUAAAAGGUACUCCGGGGAUAACAGGCUGAUACCGCCCAAGAGUUCAUAUCGACGGCGGUGUUUGGCACCUCGAUGUCGGCUCAUCACAUCCUGGGGCUGAAGUAGGUCCCAAGGGUAUGGCUGUUCGCCAUUUAAAGUGGUACGCGAGCUGGGUUUAGAACGUCGUGAGACAGUUCGGUCCCUA